GACGAACGCUGGCGGCGUGCUUAACACAUGCAAGUCGAACGAAGAGCGAUGGAAGCUUGCUUCUAUCAAUCUUAGUGGCGAACGGGUGAGUAACGCGUAAUCAACCUGCCCUUCAGAGGGGGACAACAGUUGGAAACGACUGCUAAUACCGCAUACGAUCUAAUCUCGGCAUCGAGGAUAGAUGAAAGGUGGCCUCUAUGUAUAAGCUAUCACUGAAGGAGGGGAUUGCGUCUGAUUAGCUAGUUGGAGGGGUAACGGCCCACCAAGGCGAUGAUCAGUAGCCGGUCUGAGAGGAUGAACGGCCACAGUGGGACUGAGACACGGCCCAGACUCCUACGGGAGGCAGCAGUGGGGAAUCUUCCGCAAUGGACGAAAGUCUGACGGAGCAACGCCGCGUGAGUGAUGACGGCCUUCGGGUUGUAAAGCUCUGUUAAUCGGGACGAAAGGCCUUCUUGCGAAUAGUGAGAAGGAUUGACGGUACCGGAAUAGAAAGCCACGGCUAACUACGUG
rnacentral:rRNA from 1 species